UAUAGAGACAUAGGGUACAGGUGAGUGUUGAAUAUGAAGAAAUAACAUCUUUUAAAAAAAAUGAUGAAAUUAAAGGGUGAGAGAGGAAUGUAUAGGGAGAAAAGGAAAGAAAGAAGUGGAAUGGUGUAAAUUAUCUGCCAUAAAAAAGAGACAAGAAAAAACUUUAUAAUGGAGAGGAAGAAGGGGAGGAGAGCUCCUCUCUUUAUUGACCUAUGGAAAAUUUUCUGAAACCGUCUUCUACAAACCAAUCUUUGGGAUCUACUGAUACUCAAGAUUCUUCAUAGGCUCUCAAGGAACCCAGGCUGAGAAUAUUCUCCAACAGUGAAUGAGCCAGAGAUAUGUAUAUAAGAAGUUCCACAGUUAGAAGAAAUGAGUAGGCUUAGUGUAGGUAUGAAUAAGAACAUUUUUAGAAAGACAAGUUGUUUCAGAAAUAUGAUAAAGUCUUUGAAGGACUAACAUUGGCUUCUUGGGAUGUUACUACAUUAUAUGAGGAACAGAUUCCUAAUGUUAUAAAAGAAACAAUCUUCUUGAAAAUC